UACGAAGGGGGCUAGCGUUGCUCGGAAUGACUGGGCGUAAAGGGCGCGUAGGCGGUGGACACAGUCAGGCGUGAAAUUCCUGGGCUCAACCUGGGGGCUGCGUUUGAUACGUGUUUGCUAGAGUGGGGAAGAGGGACGUGGAAUUCCCAGUGUAGAGGUGAAAUUCGUAGAUAUUGGGAAGAACACCGGUGGCGAAGGCGGCGACCUGGUCCUUGACUGACGCUGAGGCGCGAAAGCGUGGGGAGCAAACAGG
rnacentral:rRNA from 1 species